rnacentral:rRNA from 1 species
GAUGAACGCUAGCGGCAGGCUUAACACAUGCAAGUCGAGGGGUAACAUUGUAGCUUGCUACAGAUGACGACCGGCGCACGGGUGCGUAACGCGUAUAGAACCUACCAUAAACAGGGAGAUACCCUUUGGAAACGAAGACUAAUACCCCAUAGCGAUAUUUGAUGGCCUCCUUAAAUAUUUAAAGAUUUAUUGGUUUAUGAUGGCUAUGCGUUCUAUUAGUUAGUUGGUAAGGUAACGGCUUACCAAGACAUCGAUAGAUAGGGGUCCUGAGAGGGAGAACCCCCACACUGGUACUGAGACACGGACCAGACUCCUACGGGAGGCAGCAGUGAGGAAUAUUGGGCAAUGGAGGCAACUCUGACCCAGCCAUGCCGCGUGAAGGAUGACUGCCCUAUGGGUUGUAAACUUC